GUAGGGUGCGAGCGUUGUCCGGAAUUAUUGGGCGUAAAGGGCUCGUAGGCGGUUUGUCGCGUCGGGAGUGAAAUCCACUGGCUUAACUGGUGGCUUGCUUUCGAUACGGGCAGACUGGAGGUAUGCAGGGGAGAACGGAAUUCCUGGUGUAGCGGUGAAAUGCGCAGAUAUCAGGAGGAACAUCGGUGGCGAAGGCGGUUCUCUGGGCAUGUCCUGACGCUGAGGAGCGAAAGUGUGGGGAGCGAACAGGAUUAGAUACCCUGGUAGUCCACACCGUAAACGUUGGGCGCUAGGUGUGGGAUCCAUUCCACGGGUUCCGUGCCGCAGCUAACGCAUUAAGCGCCCCGCCUGGGGAGUACGGCCGCAAGGCUA
rnacentral:rRNA from 1 species